rnacentral:rRNA from 1 species
GCNGUAGCGCUGUGGGNCAUCNUCUAAAACAUGCAAGUCGAACGAUGAACCACUUCGGUGGGGAUUAGUGGCGAACGGGUGAGUAACACGUGGGCAAUCUGCCCUUCACUCUGGGACAAGCCCUGGAAACGGGGUCUAAUACCGGAUACGACACUCUCGGGCAUCCGAUGAGUGUGGAAAGCUCCGGCGGUGAAGGAUGAGCCCGCGGCCUAUCAGCUUGUUGGUGAGGUAACGGCUCACCAAGGCGACGACGGGUAGCCGGCCUGAGAGGGCGACCGGCCACACUGGGACUGAGACACGGCCCAGACUCCUACGGGAGGCAGCAGUGGGGAAUAUUGCACAAUGGGCGAAAGCCUGAUGCAGCGACGCCGCGUGAGGGAUGACGGCCUUCGGGUUGUAAACCUCUUUCAGCAGGGAAGAAGCGAAAGUGACGGUACCUGCAGAAGAAGCGCCGGCUAACUACGUGCCAGCAGCCGCGGUAAUACGUAGGGCGCGAGCGUUGUCCGGAAUUAUUGGGCGUAAAGAGCUCGUAGGCGGUCUGUCGCGUCGGAUGUGAAAGCCCGGGGCUUAACCCCGGGUCUGCAUUCGAUACGGGCAGACUAGAGUGUGGUAGGGGAGAUCGGAAUUNCUGGUGUAGCGGUGAAAUGCGCAAAUAUCANGANGAACACCGGUGGCGAANGCGGAUCUCUGGGGCCAUUACUGACNCUNAAGAACNAAAGCGUGGGGAGCGAACANGAUUANAUNCCCUGGUANUCCCNCCNUAAACNGUGGNACUAGGUGUUGGCAAAUUNCAAUUNUCGGUGCCNAACUACNAUUAAUUCCCCCCUGGGANUCCGNCCCANGNUAANUCAAAGANUUACGGGNCCCCCAACCCGGACNUUGNUUAUUUACCNCCNAAACUUCAGGUUNCUANCCGANCGCNAAAUGUCCCNUUG